rnacentral:rRNA from 1 species
AUUGAACGCUGGCGGCAUGCCUUACACAUGCAAGUCGAACGGUAACAGGUCUUCGGAUGCUGACGAGUGGCGAACGGGUGAGUAAUACAUCGGAACGUGCCCGAGAGUGGGGGAUAACGAGGCGAAAGCUUUGCUAAUACCGCAUACGAUCUCAGGAUGAAAGCAGGGGACCGCAAGGCCUUGCGCUCACGGAGCGGCCGAUGGCAGAUUAGGUAGUUGGGGGGAUAAAAGCUUACCAGGCCGACGAUCUGUAGCUGGUCUGAGAGGACGACCAGCCACACUGGGACUGAGACACGGCCCAGACUCCUACGGGAGGCAGCAGUGGGGAAUUUUGGACAAUGGGCGCAAGCCUGAUCCAGCCAUGCCGCGUGCAGGAUGAAGGCCUUCGGGUUGUAAACUGCUUUUGUACGGAACGAAAAGACUCUGGUUAAUACCUGGGGUCCAUGACGGUACCGUAAGAAUAAGCACCGGCUAACUACGUGCCAGCCGCCGCCGUAAAAC